rnacentral:rRNA from 1 species
UACGUAGGGUGCAAGCGUUAAUCGGAAUUACUGGGCGUAAAGCGUGCGCAGGCGGUCUUGCAAGACAGAUGUGAAAUCCCCGGGCUACAACCUGGGAACUGCAUUUGUGACUGCAAGGCUGGGAGUCGGCAGAGGGGGAUGGAAUUCCGCGUGUAGCAGUGAAAUGCGUAGAUAUGCGGAGGAACACCGAUGGCGAAGGCAAUCCCCUGGGCCUGCACUGACGCUCAUGCACGAAAGCGUGGGGAGCAAACAGG